CGACAUUCUGGCUUCAGAUGUUAGCCAGUUUGAUGACUGUCAAAAUACAGUACAUGAUAUGAAAGUUUUCCUUUUGGAAGCAAGGAAUCAAGAACAUGUGACUUCUAUUUUACUUCAUUUAUAUUUUUGGGCUCCAAAACUAUGGCUAUUAUUUUAAUCAUUUUCAGGUGAGCAGAAGCAUAUUCAGCAAGUACAGUGGACCAGUUGAUAUCUGGUUAUCCAAGUUAAUUGCUUGAUGUUUCCAAGUAGGCAAUUACAUUGCUCGCUCAAUGAUGACCCCAGUAAGACCUAUGCAGCAAUGGCUCAACACAGAAGCCAAUGGAUUUGGUUUGAAUACUUAACCUAAAACCUUUUUUUUAUUUUUUUAAUUAUAAACUUAAGCAAGACUAAUGGAGAAGGUUUCAUGGCCUUCUUUUUCUUUUUUUUUUUCUUUAUUUAUUUAUUUAUUUUUAUUUUGGGACAGUAGGGUGGUCUUGGUGGGGUGCAGAGAUGGGCUUAGACGAGGUUAGGAUUGGGAAGAGUUAGAAAGAGA
rnacentral:lncRNA from 1 species